UAUUCCCUCCUAUGCAUAUGAUUAGAUAAUAUUUUAAAAAUAAAUGCAAAGUCAGUAAAAAGUGUGAGGAUGCCUGGAUCUGACUCAGUAGCAUGCAUUCAGAUGAGGUUUAGUGCAAAGCUAUUGCAACACUACCAUAGAGCUUCAGACAGGUUAAAAGCACAGGCAGAAUAUUCUCCUACUGGGUCAAAGGCUCCAGAAUUUAAACACAUGCAACCAUAUCCAAAUAGAAUUUGCAAGUUUAGUAAUGAAAGCAAGUGUUAAAACUGAGCCCAGAAGAAUGGCAGCAGGUUUCUGCAAGCUGCCUCCCACCUUACAGUCACAAGUUGAUCUUGGAUAUUGGUUUGAAGAACAAAACAAAAUACAUUUAACAUCAAAGCAGAAGGAUGACAUGCCUGAAAAAUGAGAAUCACACAGUGCACAGCAUAUAAGACCUAAUCCAACAAGGUGUUGGCUGUUACAAGACCUCCUGCAAGGCAUCAGGUUGAUGGAACUAUUCAGCUUCAUAAAUUUCAGAAAUGCACAUCCAGAGAAGCAGUGACAUGUAUAAUCUGUUAUGAACAACUGACCAGUCUUGCUCAGCCAUGAACAUGUCUCACAGCACAAGUACAGAUGGCCAGUUCUACAACUGAAGAAGAGCACAGAGUCAGUCCUGAAAUGUCCUAGACUGACAAGGCAACAAUGCAAGAAGACACUACCAAAAACCAUUCAGAAUGGAAGGGAAGAAUCAGAAUAAUAAAAUCCCCUUUCUUACAGUUAUGAUCUUCCAGCAUGUUAAGUCCUUUGGUGCCCACUGAAUUUUAUUUGGAAUUGAACAUAUUCAAGUCUUUCAAUGUCUGUCAUUUCUUAUUUUGCUAUACUCCAACAUCUUCUCAUGCUCGCCUCUCCUGUCUCUCCUCCACUCCAUUACUUUUGUUCCCUUUUCUCCUCUUUAUAAGUAAUCCUUUUCUCUCAGCCCAAACUAAGCAGGGCUCAUUGCUUUGUUCUCAUUCUCUCAGGCAGGAUUUUAAUCUCUCUGUUUCACUGAGGCAUGUUAUUCUACUGCUCCAAGUACUUCUGCUUUUUCUUAGACUGCAUUCUUUUAUUUCAACACCAUCUUUACAUUUUUCUUUGAAAAGUCAAGUCUGCUGUCCUUGCUUGCUUUCAUCACCUGCUCUAUCUUAUUUCUUAUUGUUUCCUCACUUCUCUUUUCCAUUUUUGCAGUAAGUUUCAUUGAGGUUCUUCUUUGUUUCGAAAUGAGAUUUAGUACACUUGUACCAAUUAAAAUCCAAAAUAAAAAGCUGGUCCACUGCCUACUCAAGAUGUAUUCUAGCAAUUUCGUUUUAGAUGCUAGAAAAUUGUACAGUCUGGAGGUUUAUGUUAUUCUUGCCAGUUCUCUUUCAAAGCACUUUAAUUAUCAGUGAAUGUAUAAUUUGCAUGAAUGCAAAAACAGUCUAAGAUAGUCUUGCAACUGUUCCCUUCCUGAAAUAUCUGUUUGCUACAGUUUUAGGAAACAGAAUAAUUCUCAGGCUAAAACAGUUCUGACUGGCAAGCUGGAAAGAGUAUCACUCUCAGCAUACAUCACUGCUUGCAAGAUAUAAAUACUGCUCUUGUGAAACUAAUCUGAUGCACUGCAUCUGUAAAUUUUUUUCCAUUUCAUUACACUGCAGAAAAGUUUAUGCAAUCUAAUGUGAUUUGAAACAACUGCAUGGUAAGUCUGUAUGGAAUACUAAGUGUUUUGUAAGCAAGUGUUUCUCAUAUAAAUGACCUUUAUAAUAUAAAUAAAAUACCUUUGCCAGUAUUAGAGAAACAUGCCAAAAUGACUGACAAACAACCCCCUAUUUUUUUCCUACAGUUUUCCUUUUAGUAACUUAUUUAGUGGGCUGUUGGGGUAUUGACUGAAAUAUCAGGAGGCUUAAAUCUGAGGCAAACCCUGAAGAUUCUGACAUCCCAAAUCUGAAUUCUGAUUCCUAUUCUUCGUUGAAGACUUCACUCUCAAAGAUCUAACUCUAAAUUCUCAAUCUGUUUUUUAAAUUUUUAAUCACAAUUUUUAUUUUUUAAAAUAAAAAUGUUUA